CUUGUUAGAAGUUCCCAGAAUCACCUGGGAACUCAGGCUGCACCUGGGACUUUUCGAAUCAGAGAAUCUGGGGUGGGCGCAACAAUCACCUCCAGAUGAUUCUGGUGCGUGCUAGAGUUUGAGAACUACCAUCUUGGGAAUGUGAGAAGGAGCCAAACAGAAAGCAAGAAUACGAUUCAGCGUUUCCAACGGAGACUGUGUCUGGGUCCACUCUCCACGCUUCCUCAUCCUGCUGUUGCCCCAGGAGGCUGACGUGUAUGCACUUGUACUUCAUCAACAACUUCCCUCGCCCUCUGGCUUCCAGAGUGUUAAUCCCCUUAAAAGGGAUCCUUAAAAGGGAAAUAUUUGAGGCUCUGUUGUUAUGAAGAAAUCAGCAUUAUCUUUCUUCUCACCUCUCUCCUCACAUAAUCAUAUUCGCCAUUGGGAUGAUCGUUUUUGAUCAAGAUAUUACCUCAACUUCUGCCAAAGACUUCUAUUCUCUGUUGCUUUCUGCUCAUUAACAUAAGAGCCUCUGCUCCCAAGCCAAGCUCAGGAUUUCCAAUAUUAUCACCCAAUUCAGCCAUAGUCCCUUAUUUCCACAUUUGUGAGUAGAGUAUCUGAUACUCUAUCAAUACAACUGGUCCAGUAAAGAGAAGAAAAUAUGAAGAACUAAGCUGGGGGAAUGGCAAGAAUGGAAAUCUAAUGUCCCUGGAGAAACCAUAUAGGAAAUUGCAGCGCAGGAUGGGAAGACUGGAAGAGUAAACCAUGAGAAAGUGGCACCUUGAGUGCAUCUAAGAAGAUACAAGGCCAUAGACAGAAGAACAGAGUUGUUAGUAAGAAAUGUAUCAUAACUGGGAGGAAGUUUGAUUGACAUUAAAGUUAGCCAAAAUGUAAGAACCUCAAUUUUUCAUCUGUAAAUUGGAGAUUAUAAUAAUGCUAUCCUUAUAAGAAUUGUUGUGAGGCUUAAAUGAGAUAGUGCAUGGCAAAAGCAUAGCGCCCUUCUAGCAUUUAUUAAGAGUGCUAUUUUUAUCUGUAAAGUGUGGAAUUCUAAUAA
rnacentral:lncRNA from 1 species